UACCUGCAGCUCAAGUGGUGACCGCUAUUAUUGGGCCUAAAACGUUCGUAGCCGGCUGAGUAAAUGCUUGGGUAAAUCGUGCCGCUUAACGGUACGAAUUCCGAGUAGACUGCUUAGCUUGAGACCGGGAGAAGCUAGAGGUACUCCUGGGGUAGGGUGAAAUCCUGUAAUCCUGGGGGGACCACCAGUGGCGAAGGCGUCUAGCUAGAACGGGUCUGACGGUGAGGGACGAAACCCUGGGGCGCAAACCGGAUUAGAUACCCGGGUAGUCCAGGGCGCAAACGCUGCUUGCUUGAUGUUAGCUGGGCUCCGAGCUCAGCUAGUGUCGGAGAGAAGUUGUUAAGCAAGCUGCCUGGGAAGUACGAUCGCGAGAUUGAAACUUAAGGAAUUGGCGGGGAGCACAGCAACGGGUGGAGCGUGCGGUUU
rnacentral:rRNA from 1 species